GUUGCCUUCCUCGUCAAAGCUGCAAAGUUCCUUAACUUUCGCUAUCUGAAUGAUCAAACCCCGCACCAGAUCAUGCAAUUUGUAUUUAUAGACUCUUUCAUCAGAGUCUUGCCUGUGCACAACCUCAACAAGGCAUGUGCUCACCAGCUUAGACAGGCUUUCAAAGCCCAUUUCUAUUGCAGUUUUCGAGUCUUUGCCCUGGAUGAAUUCUUCUCCGACCCACCAAUGGAUUAACUUUUCAGCUUGUA
rnacentral:misc_RNA from 1 species